rfam:Sorghum bicolor cultivar BTx623 chromosome 7, whole genome shotgun sequence.
AUUCCAUGAUGGGAACAUUCUAGGAUGUAGUCUUGGAAGCGCUCCCAUGCUUCUGGAACAGAUUCAUCAUGUUGUUGCUGAAAACUUGUAGUCUUCCCACGGAGAGC